rnacentral:rRNA from 1 species
UACCAGCACCCCGAGUGGUCGGGACGUUUAUUGGGCCUAAAGCAUCCGUAGCCGGUUCUACAAGUCUUCCGUUAAAUCCAGCUGCUUAACAGAUGGGCUGCGGAAGAUACUAUGGAGCUAGGAGGCGGGAGAGGCAAGCGGUACUCGAUGGGUAGGGGUAAAAUCCGUUGAUCCAUUGAAGACCACCAGUGGCGAAGGCGGCUACCUGGACGACUACUGACGCUGAGACGCGAAAGCGUGGGGAGCAAACAGG